rnacentral:rRNA from 1 species
UGAGGAAUAUUGCGCAAUGGGCGAAAGCCUGACGCAGCAACGCCGCGUGCGGGAUGAAGGCUCUUCGAGUUGUAAACCGCUGUAGCAGGGAAAAAAGAUGCCCUUAUUGGGUAGUGAUGGUACCCUGAAAGUAAGCCUCGGCUAACUACGUGCCAGCAGCCGCGGUAAUACGUAGGAGGCAAGCGUUGUCCGGAUUUAUUGGGUUUAAAGGGUGCGUAGGCGGAUAGAUAAGUCAGUGGUGAAAACCUGCAGCUUAACUGUAGACUUGCCGUUGAUACUGUCAGUCUUGAGUAUGGUCAAGGUAGGCGGAAUGUGUAAUGUAGCGGUGAAAUGCGUUGAUAUCGGAAAGAACGCCGAAAGCGAAAGCAGCUAACUAUGAUAUUUCUGACGGUGAUGGACGAAAGCUUGAGUAGCAAACG